AUUAUUUUUAUAAGUAUAUUAAUAUAUUUUUUAUUUCAUAUUGUUUCAAGCUUGAAGCAACAUAAAAUAAAAAAAUACAAAUGUGAGUAGUAGAGGAAUUGAACUCGAGACUAAGGAUGUAAUUGCAACUAUAUAAUCAUCCAACAAAAGAACUAAUAUGUUAAAAAAAAUUAAUUAAAAUUAAAAAAAAAACUUGAAGCAACAUGAAAUAAAAAAAUACAAAUGUGAAUAGGAAAGAAAUUGAACUUGAGACUCAAUGAUGUAUUUGCAACUAUCUAACCAUCUAACUAAAGAACUAACAUAUUAAAAAAAUUAAUUAAAAUUUAAAAAAGCCUGAAGCAACAUGAAAUAAAAAAAUACAAAUGUGAGU
rnacentral:lncRNA from 1 species